AUUCUGGAGAUUCCUUUCUGUCUCAUGCUGUGAGGAGGCCUUCUUGUGAGCCAAAGCUGCUCCCACGAACUCCAUGCUGAGUGGUGCCUCCCAGAAUCCCAGGAUUCACCCCUCACAGAGGGCCAGCCUAACCCUCAAAGCCCACCAUGGUUUUAAGGACACAGAAAGGAAGAAACAUGCGUGGCUGGAAAAUAUCUAACUGCCAAGUUGCUCCUACAAUUGGAGAUGAGCCUUCUGGCUAAUUUUGAGCUGGUCAUUCUACCUGAUUCUUCUUUGGAAACAAGAAGACAAAUCGACCCAGUUGCUCACAUUGCAUCUGGAUCAUUCUGACCAAAAGUUCCAAAGGCACAGACCUCUAUUGGAUAUGGAUUGUUGGCCUGCGCAGCUUUACCCAGUGUGAGGGCUGAACUGUGCCCCCUUGAGAGAGCUGAAUGCUGGUGGUUUGGGCUGGGCAAGGGCUCUACUUCCACACUGGUGUGGAGAAGUCUUGUCUUGUGCUAUAAUCUGUAGAGAUACCCAGCUUUAUAGAAAGAAGAGAAAGAAAAAAAGAGGCAUAAGGGUUAAGUGAAAAGACAAAAGAAAGAGCAUGUGUAUAUGUGUGUAUGUUUCCAAAAAUCAGAGUGAGAGAUUGGGAAAAGAGAGUAAAGGGUUAGAUUUAUCUAAGAAAUUCUGCUGUGCAAAUCCUAGUAUAGCCUAGCAAUUUGGGGUUCUCACAAUAUAAUCAGAUCUCCAUUGGCUCCAAGACCAGAGAACUAACUAGCAGUGAAGUAUCCAUCUUUCUUAACAUUAUCAUUAAUAGUGGCCAAGUGUCAGUGUCCUUAUCUGUAAAGUAGGAGUUGUAUCUUCCUUGUAGGGAUGUUAGGUGGAUUAAACUGUCUAAUGCAUGUUAAUUGUGAAGUACUCUAUAAGCAGUCUAUAAGUAUUAUGUGAUCUAAAACAUGUCUUCAAAACAUAUUGUUUUUAUGAAGAUGUAGAUUAUGAUGGCAAAUAAAUUUCAACUUGAAUGUUAACUUCA
rnacentral:lncRNA from 1 species